rnacentral:tRNA from 1 species
GAAACAGUAGCUUAAUCGGAAAAGCAUACCAGAAUGAUGGAGAGUCACAGGUUCGAUCCCUGUCUGUUUCU